GGCUAAUUUAACGGAAACUCAACGAAUUGAAAUUUUAAUGAUGCUAGGGUACGGGGAUCGAGUGCGCACGCAAAAAGAAGUAGUGAACUGUGUAAUGCCAAAUACCCAAACUAUCCUAUUUCUCAGUCAACAGGUUUUUCAAAUGAAGCCCUGGCAUGAACAUUCCAACUAUUAAGCUUUGACCAGAUCCUUUUAGAAUUAUUUUUAACCUUAUUCGAUUAACAAUUUAGAUAAUAUAGUCAUAAAUGUGGCCCAAUGUGAAAAGCAACGUGUCAACGUCCCCUAGCUGUCAAUAACUGCCUGAAGGAGGCCUGUAUAGAAUACUCAACAAACAGUGCAGCUGCUUCAUCAUAACAAGAGAUUAGCAAUAUAGACACACAGUUCAUCGCCACAAUCUUUACAAAAUACAUUAGGUACUGCAAGUAUGUAGGUUUUCUUUAACCUUAAUCUAAGGCAUUUUUUAAUUUUUUUAGUUGUACUUUAGUUCCUGCAAUUAUACAUCAAAAUAAUUACAUAUUAAACGAUCUCUAGUCUUUUUGACUUACUUAGUUACUUUUUGACUUACUAACUACUACUUUUGAUUAGUU